GACGAACGCUGGCGGCGUGCUUAACACAUGCAAGUCGAACGGAAAGGCCCUGCUUGCAGGGUACUCGAGUGGCGAACGGGUGAGUAACACGUGGGCGAUCUGUCCUGCACUUCGGGAUAAGCCUGGGAAACUGGGUCUAAUACCGGAUAGGAGCCAUUUUUAGUGUGAUGGUUGGAAAGUUUUUUCGGUGUAGGAUGAGCUCGCGGCCUAUCAGCUUGUUGGUGGGGUAAUGGCCUACCAAGGCGGCGACGGGUAGCCGGCCUGAGAGGGUGGACGGCCACAUUGGGACUGAGAUACGGCCCAGACUCCUACGGGAGGCAGCAGUGGGGAAUAUUGCACAAUGGGCGCAAGCCUGAUGCAGCGACGCCGCGUGGGGGAUGACGGCCUUCGGGUUGUAAACUCCUUUCGCUAGGGACGAAGCUUUUUGUGACGGUACCUAGAUAAGAAGCACCGGCUAACUACGUG
rnacentral:rRNA from 1 species